rnacentral:rRNA from 1 species
UGGGGAAUUUUGGACAAUGGGCGAAAGCCUGAUCCAGCAAUGCCGCGUGUGUGAAGAAGGCCUUCGGGUUGUAAAGCACUUUUGUCCGGAAAGAAAUCCUUGGCUCUAAUACAGUCGGGGGAUGACGGUACCGGAAGAAUAAGCACCGGCUAACUACGUGCCAGCAGCCGCGGUAAUACGUAGGGUGCAAGCGUUAAUCGGAAUUACUGGGCGUAAAGCGUGCGCAGGCGGUUUGCUAAGACCGAUGUGAAAUCCCCGGGCUCAACCUGGGAACUGCAUUGGUGACUGGGCAGGCUAGAGUAUGGCAGAGGGGGGUAGAAUUCCACGUGUAGCAGUGAAAUGCGUAGAGAUGUGGAGGAAUACCGAUGGCGAAGGCAGCCCCCUGGGCCAAUACUGACGCUCAUGCACGAAAGCGUGGGGAGCAAACAGGAUUAGAUACCCUGGUAGUCCACGCCCUAAAACGAUGUCAACUAGUUGUUGGGGAUUCAUUUCCUUAGUAACGUAGCUAACGCGUGAAGUUGACCGCCUGGGGAGUACGGUCGCAAGAUUAAAACUCAAAUGAAUUGACGGGGUCAUAGCUGUUUCCU